UACGUAGGGUGCAAGCGUUGUCCGGAAUUAUUGGGCGUAAAGAGCUCGUAGGCGGUCUGUCGCGUCGGCUGUGAAAUCCCGGAGCUCAACUCCGGGUCUGCAGUCGAUACGGGCAAACUGGAGUACUGCAGGGAGACUGGAAUUCCUGGUGUAGCGGUGAAUGCGCAGAUAUCAGGAGGAACACCGGUGGCGAAGGCGGUCUCUGGCAGUAACUGACGCUGAGGAGCGAAAGCGUGGGAGCGAACAGG
rnacentral:rRNA from 1 species